rfam:TPA: Bos taurus chromosome 22, whole genome shotgun sequence.
UCCCAGGUGGCUCAGAUGGUAAAGUACCUGUCUGCAAUGCAGGAGAAUCAGGUUCAAUCCCUUGGUUGGGAA